UACGUAGGGGGCAAGCGUUGUCCGGACUUACUGGGCGUAAAGCGCGUGCAGGCGGAUUGGUAUGUGCCGUGUGAAAGCUCCCAGCUUGCCUGGGAGAGGUCGCGGUAGACAGCCGAUCUGGAGGCUCGGAGAGGUCAGUGGAAUUCCCGGUGUAGUGGUGAAAUGCGUAGAUAUCAAGAGGAACACCUGCGGCGAAGGCGGGUUGCUGGGCCGACACUGACGCUGAGGCGCGAAAGCUAGGGGAGCGAACGGG
rnacentral:rRNA from 1 species